rnacentral:rRNA from 1 species
AUUGAACGCUGGCGGCAGGCCUAACACAUGCAAGUCGAGCGGAUGAAGGGAGCUUGCUCCUGGAUUCAGCGGCGGACGGGUGAGUAAUGCCUAAGAAUCUGCCUGGUGGUGGGGGAUAACGUCCGGAAACGGGCGCUAAUACCGCAUACGUCCUGAGGGAGAAAGUGGGGGAUCUUCGGACCUCACGCUAUCAGAUGAGCCUAGGUCGGAUUAGCUAGUUGGUGGGGUAAAGGCCUACCAAGGCGACGAUCCGUAACUGGUCUGAGAGGAUGAUCAGUCACACUGGAACUGAGACACGGUCCAGACUCCUACGGGAGGCAGCAGUGGGGAAUAUUGGACAAUGGGCGAAAGCCUGAUCCAGCCAUGCCGCGUGUGUGAAGAAGGUCUUCGGAUUGUAAAGCACUUUAAGUUGGGAGGAAGGGCAGUAAGUUAAGACCUUGCUGUUUUGACGUUACCAACAGAAUAAGCACCGGCUAACUUCGU